rnacentral:tRNA from 1 species
GGCUGAUCGGUAUAGCGCUUGGCUUCCGAUCAGGGGGUCCCGGGAUCGAAUCCUGG